CUCGCCUCAGUUCCUUCCUGCAGGUUAGCGCAAUUCAAAUCACUCAAUCAUAGAUAGUAAGAGGAACUUAAACAACCGGAACGUAUUCACUUUCAUAUAACCAACAACUGCGGGGGUCCUGAUUAUAAGACUAAAUCGUUAUGACACGUCCCAUUCCAUGCCACACAAUUCCGUCUCAUAAUCCGACACAUCAACGACACUCAACAUGCAUUCAAGUUAUUAUUCACUGCCACACAAGGGCAUAGCCUACUCGCUAUUUGGCUAUCUACUGGCAUAUAGCCAGGCAUCGCCUCCCCACCUUGGAGCGCGGCUUCGUUAGUACAUCGACGGCGUUCCCGAAGGAGCAUAGGCCCAGAAUCAACUGCGACCCGCAACCACUGCGUGGGCAUCCCAUAUAGGGGCAAGUCCGGCUCAACAGCCCAGGAUGAUUCCUCUUAAUUAUCACACAGUCAAAUCAUACUCGGCCCCAGGACACUUUGCAUUUCACUCAACGCUUCCACUUAAAAUAGUGAUCCCGGCCAUUUUUCUUCAUAUUAAAAAUAUUCCAGAAAUUACGCACGUGUGUGGGGACACGCUAAUUUCGAAUCAAAAGGUCAAUAUCUCAUUUUUUCAAACCCCACUAUUUAAUAUAAUCAUUAAAAUCCAAUUUUUGCAUCAAAACCCGACACAUGGGUUUUUAUGAAUAAAAUCCCUAUUUACCACAAUCAACACUCA
rnacentral:lncRNA from 1 species